UACGAAGGGGGCUAGCGUUGCUCGGAAUCACUGGGCGUAAAGGGUGCGUAGGCGGGUCUUUAAGUCAGGGGUGAAAUCCUGGAGCUCAACUCCAGAACUGCCUUUGAUACUGAAGAUCUUGAGUUCGGGAGAGGUGAGCGGAACUGCGAGUGUAGAGGUGAAAUUCGUAGAUAUUCGGAAGAACACCAGUGGCGAAGGCGGCUCACUGGACUGGUAUUGACGCUGAGGUGCGAAAGCGUGGGGAGCAAACAGG
rnacentral:rRNA from 1 species